UACGGAGGAUGCAAGCGUUAUCCGGAAUGAUUGGGCGUAAAGCGUCCGCAGGUGGCAAUGAAAGUCUGUUGUCAAAGGUCAGGGCUUAACUCUGAAGUGGCAGUGGAAACUACAUUCGCUAGAGUGCGGUGGGGGCAGAGGGGAUUCCCAGUGUAGCGGCGAAAUGCGUAGAGAUUGGGAAGAACACCGGUGGCGAAAGCGCUCUGCUAGGCCGUAACUGACACUCAUGGACGAAAGCUAGGGGAGCGAAUGGG
rnacentral:rRNA from 1 species